rnacentral:rRNA from 1 species
UACGGCGAGUGAGCGGCAAAAGCUCAAAUUUGAAAUCUAGCACCUUCGGUGUUCGAGUUGUAAUUUGAAGAUGGUAACCUUGGGUUUGGCUCUUGUCUAUGUUCCUUGGAACAGGACGUCAUAGAGGGUGAGAAUCCCGUCUGAUGAGAUGCCCAUUCCUAUGUAAGGUGCUAUCGAAGAGUCGAGUUGUUUGGGAAUGCAGCUCUAAGUGGGUGGUAAAUUCCAUCUAAAGCUAAAUAUUGGCGAGAGACCGAUAGCGAACAAGUACAGUGAUGGAAAGAUGAAAAGAACUUUGAAAAGAGAGUGAAAAAGUACGUGAAAUUGUUGAAAGGGAAGGGCAUUAGAUCAGACUUGGUGUUUUACGAUUAUCUUCUCUUCUUGAGUUGUGCACUCGUAUUUCACUGGGCCAGCAUCGAUUCGGAUGGCAAGAUAAUGGCAGUUGAAUGUGGCUUCACUUCGGUGGAGUGUUAUAGCUUCUGCUGAUAUUGCCUGUCUGGAUCGAGGGCUGCGUCUUUUGACUAGGAUGCUGGCGUAAUGAUCUAAUGCCGCCCGUCU